CGGGGCGCCACGAACCCACGGAGCCGCACGUGGUGGAGCGCACGUGCGCCGGAGAAGCGGACGUCGAGGUGGUGCGUGAGGAUGCCGCCCGCUGACUCGCCCGUGAUGAAGACCCGCCUCGGGUCGGCAAGCUCGGACAGCCAUGGGUCGGCGACGUUGGAGGAAGUAGGGGAGCGAGCAGCCUGGCCACGGAGCCAGAGGAGAACCGCGGCCACGUCGUCGAUGGCGGCCGGACGGCGAUGCUCAGGGUCGAGGCGGUAGUCAACGACGCGGAUCCAGGCUCCACUGAACUCGCGUAAGUUAAUCCCCUUCCCCGUUCUCGAUCUCCUCUUCGAUGCCCUGUGCAGAGGAGGGAAGGUAGCAGCACUGUCUUGCUGCUGGAUGCUGCACUCCUCCAUGCAGCUCCAUCAGACACUUGUUCCGAUGCGUCUCGGUAAGUCACAUGGAUCAUGUGCUUUCAUUAAUUUGUACUGCUUUAACAUUGGAAGGGAAGAAGAACAAAGAAGCUAGAUGUGUGGCGCUCACUUUUGACCUGAUUUUGCUGUUAUUUUUGGACGAUGAUGGUUGAGAUGAGCAACAGCUAGGUCACUGUUGUUGUCUAUGGCCCUCGAGAGGUGGAUUUCCCUACUCUGGUUACUGUGACUUUCGCAUUCUUAUGGGCACAACAAGUUUGAGAAAAUGCUUUUGAGAGGGGAUUUUCUUAUGGGCACAACAUAUUUGUGGCAUAUAAUUUUAGGCCAAUAAUUUGGUGCUUCUGAAAUGGAAUUUUAGUACACUGUGUUGAAAAAUAGAGGAGUGCAGGCAACUGAAAGGUUUUGUCGUUACGAGAAAAUGGAGUGCAUCUCGAGCCAGCGCUUGUCAAAAUAAUGCUGGAUAAAGGCAUAUUUUGUUUGGCUACAUGAAUUUGCUGAUAUUUUCCAUGCUGAUAUUUCCCCUGUACUUUUAUAUUGCAGGUUGUUCGCAAACACCCAAGCAGAAAGUUAUAUGCAUAUGGACCUGGAUUUCAUUGACAUUGACACAGACAACAAUACCAUAUCCAGCUGAAGUUGCAGAGUCAAUUUAUCAAGUAGAAAAAAAAAAUCCCUGUAAAACAUGAUGAUGAGGACUGUCCUUAUCAAGAGAUGGAUACUGCUUGGAAGUUAGUGCUUACUAUUUCGCCUACAUUAUGUCAUCGUUCUGUAUUUUCAUUGAUGACGUCCUGCAUUUUUGAAAUUGUUACUGAAGCAGUGGGUUUUCUCGAGGUGCCUCCAUCUACUGAGGCGUGACAAGGUUUGUUUGAGCAGAAUUUGCCACCACAUUUUGCUUCAUCGCUCAACACAAGUACAUAUAGAAACCACACAGGUAUGUUCAUGUUGACUACAUUACAGGCAUCACCAGCAUGGAAGUUGACAAUCUCGGAUUGGCGGAGUUGCUGGAAACAAGGAUCUGUACCUCGUCACUUUUAGUAAGAGAGAUUUCUAUUUGACUGUAGGUUUUGUAUUUUGAAUCGACAAAUAUGUGGUGAGUUGAGCCUUUUGAGGUAAGGGUACCUGCCGACCUGCCUCUUGUCUAUUGCUUCGUACAAAUGUAGGAUUUGAAAUAUAUAGUUCUGAAAAAAGUAUGCACUCCAGGCUUGAGAAAGGAGUGUUGAAGUGGACUUGAGAUAGUAUGUAAUUUUCUAGAGGAAUACUAAUUCUUUAGUCAUUUUUCUGCAACACUAAUCUGCACCAUUAUUACUGAUCCAAAAUUUGUUGUCGCAGGGAGGGAACAAGAUUCUGAGCUACUUCCAGUGCUGUAUCAAGGCCUCAAGAGGAGGCUGCCUCUGUGAAAAAUUAGGUACAUGUAAUGACAAAAGAAAUAAUACGGUUGGGCAUGACAUUGGUCCAAUAUACCCCCGUGAAUGUUGUGGAUGACCUUCUUGUGAGGUUGGCAAAUUUUGUGUUUGGUGACCUACUGUCACAUGGAAUUGUGAGACCAAAAA